CCGAUCUGCUGCCUGAAAUAAAGAUGUAACCAACAAAGUUGGCUAAAAUGAGAUAUCGGUGGAAUAAGGGUAUACCGUCAAUGCUCUAUACAGUGGCACACACUGCAUGCUGAUACAUAAAUUACAUCAUAAGUUGUUGACAGUUGAAUAUCGCAGUCCAUGGAAAUAGGAUGUAACAUCAGUCAAGAUGGCCGACAGUGUAGGUGAACGAUCGUUGCCAGAUGUGCUAAAUCAUAUUAAUAACAGCCUCAGGCGUAAAAUAAAUGUAAAUAACUGGAAGGACGUGAAAAGAAAAUGCCUCAAGAAUCAUGGUAAAGAAUAUACCACGAGAAAAGGUGCUAUAAAAUGUGCAAAACAGACUUCAACCGAGGUCAUUGCAUGUAAAUGUAAAUAUGAAGGUUGCAGGAUAUUAGACGCUGAUCAGAAGGAACGUCUAUUUACUGAGUAUUAUUUAAUGAACUAC
rnacentral:lncRNA from 1 species